rnacentral:lncRNA from 1 species
CUUGAGGGCCACAAACUCGAGGCAUUUACCGCAGCUUAUGCUGAACUUGAAUCAACUCUUUCUGGUUUGAACGUUCUCGUGGAGACCUACUUCGCUGAUAUCCCUGCUGAAGCAUACAAGACCUUAACUUCGUUGAAGGGUGUGACCGCCUAUGGAUUUGAUUUGGUUCGUGGCACCAAGACCCUUGAUUUGGUCAAGUCAAGUUUCCCCGCCGGAAAGUACCUUUUCGCUGGUGUUGUUGACGGAAGGAACAUCUGGGCCAA